rnacentral:rRNA from 1 species
UACAGAGGGUGCAAGCGUUAAUCGGAAUACUGGGCGUAAAGCGUGCGCAGACGGUUGCGUAAGUCAGAUGUGAAAGCCCCGGGCUCAACCUGGGAAUUGCAUUUGAGACUGCGUAGCUAGGGUGCGGAAGAGGGAAGCGGAAUUUCCGGUGUAGCGGUGAAAUGCGUAGAUGUCGGGAGGAACACCUGUGGCGAAAGCGGCUCACUGGACAGUAACUGACGCUGAUGCACGAAAGCUAGGGGAGCAAACAGG